GCCGAGGUGACAGAGCGGCCAUGUGGCGGACUGCAGAUCCGUACACGGGAGUUCAAAUCUCCCCCUCGGCC
rnacentral:tRNA from 1 species